UGACGGUCCUAUGGAUUGUAAACUGCUUUUAUACGAGAAGAAACACUGCUUCGUGAAGCAGCUUGACGGUAUCGUAAGAAUAAGGAUCGGCUAACUCCGUGCCAGCAGCCGCGGUAAUACGGAGGAUCCAAGCGUUAUCCGGAAUCAUUGGGUUUAAAGGGUCCGUAGGCGGUUUAAUAAGUCAGUGGUGAAAGCCCAUCGCUCAACGGUGGAACGGCCAUUGAUACUGUUAAACUUGAAUUAUUAGGAAGUAACUAGAAUAUGUAGUGUAGCGGUGAAAUGCUUAGAGAUUACAUGGAAUACCAAUUGCGAAGGCAGGUUACUACUAAUGGAUUGACGCUGAUGGACGAAAGCGUGGGUAGCGAACAGGAUUAGAUACCCUGGUAGUCCACGCCGUAAACGAUGGAUACUAGCUGUUGGAAGCAAUUUCAGUGGCUAAGCGAAAGUGAUAAG
rnacentral:rRNA from 1 species